GUGCUUGCUUUGGCAGCACAUAUACUAAAAUUGGAACAAUACAGAGAUUGGUAUGGCCCCUGUGCAAGGAUGACAUGGAAAUUCGUGAAGCGUUCCAUAUUUUU